rnacentral:lncRNA from 10 species
AAAAUAGCAUAACCUAAAUCUACUCAUGAGGAAACAUCACGCAAAUGUCACUUGAAAAACAUUCUACAAAAUAGCUGGUCCGUAUUCUUCAAAAAUGUCAAUAUCAUGAAAGACAAAGAUUGAGGAAGUGUUGCAGAUUAAAGGAGACUGCAGACACGUGACAACUGAAUGCAAUGCAUGAUGUGGGAUUAUCUUUUGCUUUAAAGCAAAAUGCUGUUCUUUAAAGGACAGUAUUGGGACAAUUGGUGAAAUCUGAAUAAGGCCUGUUUACUAGAUAAAGGUCAAGUCAACUCAGAAGCAGGUCUUGUUUCCAUGGAGAUGUAUUUAAGGAUAAAGACAGAGGAACAAAUACCAGACCAGCAAACUUACCUGAAUCCAGCUGCCCUCAGAGUAUGGCUGAGGCUUGGUCAAAGCCCAGAACUUAGCAAGGGUUAGAGGACAUCAUGGGACCAUAUUCCCAGUCACUCCAGGUUUGAGAAACAAUUCCACAACCGCUCUUCUCCCAUCAAGCUAAUACAUUUUGAGGAAAAACUCAAGAUUUCAAGAAAUAGGCUCUCGGACACAAUUCUGUGGGGGAGGUAAGAAGUCUGUGGCACAGACUUUCUGUCAGGCAAUUUGGCAAUGUAUAGUGCUGGGAGCAUGAAUACAAUGGCUGGAGCUCUAGUUACCAAUUCAGCCCAUGGGGACAAUGCCACACUGAUUUAGGAAAUGGCAGAGCUGGAAGGAGUCUAGAAGAAGACGAAAGUUUCUCCAGAUUCUAUUGAGUGCUGUUAUUAUAGAAGCCCUGGCCUUCCUAUCUCUGGCCUAUAUGUGAGA